rnacentral:rRNA from 1 species
AUCUCGAAAGGGAUGCUAAUACCGCAUACGUCCUACGGGAGAAAGCAGGGGAUCUUCGGACCUUGCGCUAAUAGAUGAGCCUAAGUCGGAUUAGCUAGUUGGUGGGGUAAAGGCCUACCAAGGCGACGAUCUGUAGCGGGUCUGAGAGGAUGAUCCGCCACACUGGGACUGAGACACGGCCCAGACUCCUACGGGAGGCAGCAGUGGGGAAUAUUGGACAAUGGGGGGAACCCUGAUCCAGCCAUGCCGCGUGUGUGAAGAAGGCCUUAUGGUUGUAAAGCACUUUAAGCGAGGAGGAGGCUACUCUAGUUAAUACCUAGAGAUAGUGGACGUUACUCGCAGAAUAAGCACCGGCUAACUCUGUGCCAGCAGCCGCGGUA